CCCCUAGAUGUUCUGGGCCGCACGCGCGCUACACUGAACAGUUCAACAAGUCUUAACCUUGGCCGAUAGGUCUGGGUAAUCUUUGAACGCUGUUCGUGAUUGGGAUAGACCUUUGCAAUUAUGGGUCUUCAACGAGGAAUUCCUAGUAAACGCAAGUCAUCAGCUCGCAUUGAUUACGUCCCUGCCCUUUGUACACACCGCCCGUCGCACCUACCGAUUGAAUGGUCCGGUGAAAUCUCGGGACGGCGGCUCGGUCGCUUGCGUCCGACUGCUGAAACUUGAUUAAACCAUAUCAUUUAGAGGAAGGUGAAGUCGUAACA
rnacentral:rRNA from 1 species